AGUAAGUUAAAGUAAUUACGUUACGUUAGUGGCGUGGGGUGCGUUCCAUUUAGAUAGUUGGCGGGGUAACGGCCCACCAAGUCUACGAUGGAUAGGGGUUCUGAGAGGAAGGUCCCCCACAUUGGAACUGAGACACGGUCCAAACUCCUACGGGAGGCAGCAGUGAGGAAUAUUGGUCAAUGGACGAGAGUCUGAACCAGCCAAGUAGCGUGAAGGAUGACUGCCCUAUGGGUUGUAAACUUCUUUUAUAAGGGAAUAACAGACGUUACGUGUAGCGUUUUGCAUGUACCUUAUGAAUAAGCAUCGGCUAACUCCGUGCC
rnacentral:rRNA from 1 species